rnacentral:rRNA from 1 species
AAUCAACGCUGGCGGCGUGCCUCAGACAUGCAAGUCGAACGAUUAAGACUUCCUUCGGGAAGUGUAUAAAGUGGCGCACGGGUGAGUAACACGUAAGUAAUCUACCCUCGAGUGGGGAAUAACGUUCGGAAACGAACGCUAAUACCGCAUAACGCAGCGGCACCGCAAGGUGACAGUUGUUAAAGGAGUAAUUCGCUUGA